UGGGCGUGUUGGUUCUUACAGGGAUGUGUUUCAGGUGCAUUCGGCGUGCUGGUCUUACAGGGGAGGUGUUUUCAGGUGCAUUCUGGGCGUGCUGGUCUUACAGGGAGUGUGUUCAAGUGCAUUCUGGGCGUGUGGUCUUACAGGGAGGUGUGUUCAGGUGCAUUUGAGCAUGCUGGUCUUAAAGGGAGGGUGUUUCAGGUGCAUUAUGGGGCAUGCGGUCUUAAAGGAGGUGUGUUCAGGGCAUUCUGGGCAUGUGGUCUAC